AGAGGGAUAGCUGGGUCAAAUGGUGGUCCUGUCCCCAUCUUUCCAAGAAAUCUCCAUACUGCUUUCCAUAUUGGGUGCACCAAUUUGCAGUCCCACCAGCAGU
rnacentral:pre_miRNA from 1 species